GCCCUUAGAGUUUGAUCCUGGCUCAGAACGAACGCUGGCGGCAUGCCUAACACAUGCAAGUCGAACGAUGCCUUCGGGCAUAGUGGCGCACGGGUGCGUAACGCGUGGGAAUCUGCCUCUUGCUUCGGAAUAACAGUUAGAAAUGACUGCUAAUACCGGAUGAUGUCUUCGGACCAAAGAUUUAUCGGCAAGAGAUGAGCCCGCGUAGGAUUAGGUAGUUGGUGGGGUAAAGGCCUACCAAGCCGACGAUCCUUAGCUGGUCUGAGAGGAUGAUCAGCCACACUGGGACUGAGACACGGCCCAGACUCCUACGGGAGGCAGCAGUGGGGAAUAUUGGACAAUGGGGGAAACCCUGAUCCAGCAAUGCCGCGUGAGUGAUGAAGGCCUUAGGGUUGUAAAGCUCUUUUACCAGGGAUGAUAAUGACAGUACCUGGAGAAUAAGCUCCGGCUAACUCCGUGCCAGCAGCCGCGGUAAUAAGGGCG
rnacentral:rRNA from 1 species